CAACAACAACGAGAACAACCACAACAAAAGAUAAUGUAAAAUCAGCGUAUGCUCAAUAAAGAAAAGCUUACACAAAACCAAAUACCACAAA